AGUGAACGCUGGCGGUAGGCCUAACACAUGCAAGUCGAACGGCAGCACAGUAAGAGCUUGCUCUUACGGGUGGCGAGUGGCGGACGGGUGAGGAAUACAUCGGAAUCUACUUUUUCGUGGGGGUUAACGUAGGGAAACUUACGCUAAUACCGCAUACGACCUACGGGUGAAAGCAGGGGAUCUUCGGACCUUGCGCGAUUGAAUGAGCCGAUGUCGGAUUAGCUAGUUGGCGGGGUAAAGGCCCACCAAGGCGACGAUCCGUAGCUGGUCUGAGAGGAUGAUCAGCCACACUGGAACGGAGACACGGUCCAGGCGCCUACGGGAGGCAGCAGUGGGGUAUAUUGGACAAUGGGCGCAAGCCUGAUCCAGCCGUACCGCGUGGGUGAAGAAGGCCUUCGGGUUGUAAAGCCCUUUUGUUGGGAAAGAAAAGCAGCAGGUUAAUACCCCGCUGUUCUGACGGUACCCAAAGAAUAAGCACCGGCUAACUUCGUG
rnacentral:rRNA from 1 species